rnacentral:rRNA from 1 species
ACACUCCUGCGGGAGGCAGCAGUAGGGAAUCUUCGGCAAUGGGGGCAACCCUGACCGAGCAACGCCGCGUGAGUGAAGAAGGUUUUCGGAUCGUAAAGCUCUGUUGUAAGUCAAGAACGAGUGUGAGAGUGGAAAGUUCACACUGUGACGGUAGCUUACCAGAAAGGGACGGCUAACUACGUGCCAGCAGCCGCGGUAAUACGUAGGUCCCGAGCGUUGUCCGGAUUUAUUGGGCGUAAAGCGAGCGCAGGCGGUUUGAUAAGUCUGAAGUUAAAGGCUGUGGCUCAACCAUAGUUCGCUUUGGAAACUGUCAAACUUGAGUGCAGAAGGGGAGAGUGGAAUUCCAUGUGUAGCGGUGAAAUGCGUAGAUAUAUGGAGGAACACCGGUGGCGAAAGCGGCUCUCUGGUCUGUAACUGACGCUGAGGCUCGAAAGCGUGGGGAGCGAACAGGAUUAGAUACCCGGGUAGUCCC